CCUUUAAAAGCCCUGUAUUUCUGCCUAUGUGAGAGAAAUUUGGAUUUUGAGAUGAGAAGGUCUACCAUUUUUCCUGCUUUGCUGGCAAGGCAAAUCUCUUUCCUCAUCCCCCAAACAUUUGUCCUUAUUCUUCUGAUUCAGCCUUGUGGACAAGUGCUGAAUUUUCGGUAACAGAUUUUGGCAUCUCUGGGUGGGCCCAUUGGCUUCCCAGUAGAAUGGCACCCUGAGACUGCUGGAAGAGGCAGGGAGCAGCUCUAGGACAAGCCGUGGAUAGGGGCAUCACCUCUUUGGAUGAAUGGAGCUCCAACAGACCUGAACUGAUUUGGGCAGGAGGAAACAGAUUUGGGAAGUGUUGCAACAGCCAUGACUAUUUGAGACACAGUCAUGCUCUGUUGCCUAGGCGAGAGUACAG